CCCGAAAAUCUUCCUAAAUUGCCAGUCUUCGCACCAGCCGGCGGAACCCUAGCUCUGGAGCUGCUGCCAGAUCAGGGCGGCGGAAUCGGCGGCUCCUUCCCUGGCGCCCCACUUCGGAGGCUUGCGCCGCUCGGCGCGUCCCCAGUCCGCGUCUUUCCUCCGGCCACACCUUCAGGAUUCGGGCCGCUCCUCUUUACCCUUGCGCGUGCACAUGAUUCUGAUAUGCUUGGUCAAGUUUAGUACAGCCGCUCCCUAUUGAUUCCAUUUUCUCUGAUGCACGGUGGUCGGCCGGCACACCUCUACCUUCUGUCGCAGCGUAUCCAGGCGUCGAGCGCUCUAUGGAAGCAUCCAAUCUCGCCGCUCUGCCAACUUCGCCUGAACGCCGACUGCCAAUGCUCCAUAUACCGUCAUACAAUCUUGCCAUUCUACCUACUUCACCGGAACACCGACCGCCGGUGCUCCAUCUGAGAAUUUCAAAUCAUAGACGAUGGGUGUUGAACUGCUAGAAUAUUUAUGCCCCUUUGCAACACAUGGGCAUAUGUGCUAGCUUAUUCCAAAAGAGAAAAACAUUGGUACUAUGUUGAUAGCGAGGGUGCAAGGCUCAAGGGAAGCAGUUACAAAUUCAAUUCAACAUGUCAGUUGAGGAAGCUGCUGAGUUAGCAUGGUGGGCUAUUUACCAUUCAAUAUUCCUAGACGGAGCUAGUGGUGGCUGUGUUAGUGGCGGUGUUGUUAACCACUCGUUUUCUUCAGCAUGAACAUCAUCUUGGUCGGCCUAUUAACCAAGAAUGUGUUUGAUCCACGCCAUAUGCGUAUUUCCAUCCAAAGUAGAUGAAUUUAUUUGAACCGAGAAAGAGGGCACAGUUGAUUUUGCAGGAUUGAUCCAAUUCACAUCGAUGAUCCUCUUUGCCCUGCUAACAAUGUGGGCAGGAAUUGUUUCCGGGUCCACCAAUGCAUCAAGGCUUUUGCUGAUGCUUUUGCUGUUCUAGAAAACGAGCUACUGCAGUUCAGUGCAGAAUGUAACAUGCCUGCAUCAUCAUUUAGCCUACUGAGGGAAAUAAUUCCAAGUAUUGAUUCUAAUGAGUUGUAGCAAUGGAAAGAGCCUGUGAUUCCACAAGCUACAGGAACUGUUGGGUUGGAAUGGCCUCUGCUGUGUCUAGACACCGAGUUACUUACUGCAGCUGGUGGAAAAGUGCAGGCUUGUUCGAAGGUACAAUGCCAGCUGCCCUUCUCUCGCCUCUGGCUGCUUAGAACCCGAAACCGUUGAUUGAGGUAUUAGGCCGAAUUGGAUGCAAGAGCAAGAUGGUGCUGCAUUCUGCACACAGAAGAUCCUUAACCUCGUGCCGGUGGUAUGUGCUGCCAAGGAUGCGGAAAUGGAAUCGCCUAAUGAUGUGUGCUGCCAGACCUAUAAGGUCACUGAGGAGCAGUACAGCAGGUCCGCACAGAACUCCAGAUCCGGAGGAGCACUCGGGAUAAGCUCUAGCAGAGGCUCUACAUGUUUCCUGUAUCAUCUGUUCUCUGAACCUUAGGAAAUGCCUAAGGAAAAUCAGAACAUCCUGGAACAAGUUCUUUGUGCUUUUGGCAGUCAACAUCAGCUUGUGGAACAGGAAAUGGAGAAAUUCUACGAAGGAGGCUACCUGUGUUCGGAAACAGAGUAGGAAGCAACUCCUACUUGGAGCUGGUACAAGGCUUGAUACUGGAAGUGGUGUCCGGUGUAGCAAAGCGAUUUUCAGAUCGUCGUUUCUCCGGAACAGCAAGAUUGUUCCUUGAACACACCAAGAGGGUAACUGCCAUGAUUACUGCCGUGAUCUCGAGUACCAGAUUCUUCGUUGCAGUUACUCGCCAAUGGGAUUGCCGAGCUACUCUUCAGUUACAGUCAGAGCAAUCUUUAUGGCAUCAGGGACAUGGUCAGGUGACGGCGUUGGCUCGUCUUAUAAAGGCAGACUUCGUUUCCUGCAGCUGAUGAGAUUCAAGUUGCUGCUUUUGUAGCGAAGCACACUUCGGUUCCUGCUUUUGUAGCGAAGCAGAUUUAAGUUACCGCUUUUGUAGUUUACUCCAACACAAAUUUGAAACUAGCAUGUUCUUGCGCUUUCUUUCUUGUGCAAGUAUCGAUUUUUGCUUUCUCUGUCACAAGCUAUUCUCAGAACUAAGAAUUCUUUAAAAAAAAUACACAUGUAGUAGAUGUUAAUGUGAUAUGUACACUUUGCA